CAGAAUUUUAAAUACGUCUCUGGCUGCUUUUUAAAAGCAGAAAUCGGAGUAAAAAGAGGGCUACUGAGGAGGGACUGCAGGGUCCCAUGGGAGUGGUGGCCAUGGCAAUGGGGAGAAGAGGAGAAAUCCAUCUGUUGUGAAAAGCUGGAAGUUUUUUGGCUGCAGAAAGUGAGGGAGAAGUAGAUGUUAAAAGUCACUCCCAGCAGAGUGUGUUCGGCUGAAUGGCUAAGACCCCAGGUUCUUCAGAAAUAAAUGUUUAAAAAAGAAAGGAAGAAAGGAAAGAAGGAAGGAAGAAAGACAAGAGAGAGAGAGAUGGAGAGACAUAAGGAGCUCGCUUGCAAGCCUUUCACUAUUACGGGGAAAUGUAAAUGCGGGACUCUGGACCUGCAUGGGGCCAAUGCCUAAUGAAGUGGGUGUCACCCAGGAAAGAGGGCUGCAGAGAGGCAAAUGGCUGAACUGAAACAAAGAGCGACCUUUUGUGGUGCCAGGUGUCAGUUUUUGUGUUUCUGCUCCAAAGUCUCCUCCCCAGGGACCAGCAUCCUCUUCUUACACAAGGGAGGGCUAAUUGACCUGGUUCAUCUCUGCACGCUAGUUCGAGCCCUACAUCACUGGAGCAGCGGCUGCCUCAGCCCAGCCCGAUCUUGGUCCCUCAGCUGUGCGUGGGGAAGGACCUUCUCACGCUGAGCUCAUCAGUCUGGCCCUGACAGACGGAAGGCUUCCUCUCUUCACUUGCUACUACCCUUGACCGCUCACCACCUAACCUAGCAGCGAGACGUAUGACUGGAGCCCUCGGGAACCCUGGCUGCUGAGGAAGUUCGGCCAGGCACAAGCCUGCAACUGGGGAGAUUGCAUUUCUGUCUCCAGUCCUUGCCUGAAUAUAGCUCACGGUAAAAGAUGGUCCAAAGAGAGAAGAAUUAACACAAGUAUAUGACAAUAAAAUAAACUUUGACUCAAGAGAAGGAGAAAAAUGUGUUAAUAUUCUGGAGUUAAAUAUAGAUUUUUCUCCUCUAAAAUAUCUAUAUUUUUCAUAUGAAAUAAAAAUGUUUUUAGGAAUUAUUUGCUUUUUUUCAUAAGCUGAAAUUAUCUGAUCAAAUAGGAACAAUGCUUCUUGUAAAUACAACAAGCUAAAUUGGAAAUGAUUUCAUGGAAUUAAAAUAUAGUACACAUGGGCAUUCAUUUGGAAUGUAAAAAACAAUAAAUAUAUAACAGUAAUGAAAGGGCAAACUGGAGAAAUUAUACUAGAAAACAAAGGAGUAAAGAUAUAUAAAUUAGAGAUAAUAAACAGCUAACAUGAAAAAUAGAGACAAGGAUCUAGUUUUAUUGAUACUACUGAGGCAAUAAUAAAUGAAAAUAUGCUUAACCUUACAAACAAAAGCAAUCUGAGUAUAUAUUCAACCUGUUUUAUCCCAAAUAAUCAACUGUUGAACAAAUUCUGGCAAUUAAAUAUAAAUUUCAACAUAAAGGAUUAUCUAAUUUUAAAAAUGAAAGAGGCUACAGAUAAGACAAAAACAAAAAAUUGGCAUUCCUUAGACCUUUCUUUGGCAAUAAUGAGUGAUAAAAAGUGAUAAGAAAUGUCUCAGAGAGCUACAGAGAUGAGGCCAUGACCUAUACAUUCAGAAUUAGGAAUUUAUGUGACCUAACCUUAGAAGGACAUUUUUAGAAAUGCAAGCACUAAAAAAAUGUAUGCCUCACUUACGCCUCCUGAAAUUUCCCUCAGAAUGUUUACCAGGGCACCAUGAAUUGAGUCCAAAGUGAGAUGUUAAAGACAGUAGGAGCAAAGAACUGGAAAUAAACAGUGCCCCCCCCCCACUCAUGAGGGAUACUUUCCAAGUAGAUGUCUGAACCCGUGGAUACUAUGAGCCCUAUAAUAUAUCAUGUUUUUUCCCUACACAUACAUACCUAUGGGAAAGCUUAAUUUAUAAAUUAGGUGCUAAAGAGAGUAACGGCAACAACUUUAAAUACAAUGGAACAAUUAUAACAAAAUAUGGUGAUAAAUAUUGUGAAUAUGGUCUCUUUCUCAAAAUGUCAUAAUACACUUUUACCGUUUCACGUACAGUAAGCACUGGAUGACUUCUCUUUGGCGCAUCUGAGUUGCCUGCACCACUGCUUUCUGUGUUUUGGAGCCAUUAUUAGGUAACAUGAGGUUUACUUGAACAUAAGUACUCUAAUACCACCCAGUUGACCUGUACUGAGACAGCUACUAAGUGGCUAGCAGGCGAAUAGAAUAUAAAGCAUGGAUAUGCUGGACAAAAGGAUGAUUCACAUCUUGGGCAGGAUGGCACAAACAUUACCAUGCUUUCAGAAUGGCGCACAAUUUAAAACCUAUGUAUUGCUCAUUUCUGGAAUUUUCCAUUUGAUAUUUUUGGACUAGAGCUGACUGCAGGUCAGCUUUUUGUUGCCAUAACAAAGCAACCGACACAGGCUAUUUAUAGAAAAGAGGUUUCUUUUGGAGGGUCACAGUACGAGACUGGACAGCCCCCCUGUCCUGAUACCUGGUGAUGACAUUCUUGCUGGCAGAUUUCCGAGGCGACACAAAGUAUUGCAUGAUAAGAAGGAAGGGGUACUUCUAUGUUGAUGUCAUCUCAUAAACCACCGGAAUUUGGGCUUUACCCUAAUGACCCAAUCCAUUCACUUCUCAAAGGCCCCACCUCUAAACGCUGUAUUUGGAUUAAGUUUCCAUCCUCUUAGUACCACUUGGGGACCAAGCCCACGGACCAAGCCUUCAACGUGGGCCUUUAGGGGACAUUCAAUACCCAAACUGAUAUCUAAACCAUAUCAGCAGGUAAUUAAAACCACAGAAAAUGAAGCAAUGGAUAAGGCGGAGCUACUGUUCAGAAUCUAGUCAUACAUAUGCACACACUUAUUAUAGAUGAGCUUAUAGGGACUUGUCUUUUUAAAUUUAAUUUUAUUUAUUUGAAAGUUACACAGAGAGAGGGGGAGACAGAGAAAGAGAUCUUCCAUCUGCUGGUUCACGCCCCAAAUGGACAGAAUGGACAGGGCUGGGCCAGGCCAAAGCUAGGAGCCUGGAAUUCCAUCAGGGUCUCCCACAUGGAUGGCAAGGGCCCAAGCAUAUCAGUCAUCCUUGGCAGCUUCCCCAGGCACAUUAGCGGGGAGCUGGAUCAGAAGUGGAGCAGCCAGGACUCAAAUUGGUGCUCAUAUGGGAUGCUGGCAUCACUGGCAGCCACUUA